rnacentral:rRNA from 1 species
AGUGAACGCUGGCGGUAGGCCUAACACAUGCAAGUCGAACGGCAGCACAGUAAGAGCUUGCUCUUACGGGUGGCGAGUGGCGGACGGGUGAGGAAUACAUCGGAAUCUACUUUUUCGUGGGGGAUAACGUAGGGAAACUUACGCUAAUACCGCAUACGACCUACGGGUGAAAGCAGGGGAUCUUCGGACCUUGCGCGAUUGAAUGAGCCGAUGUCGGAUUAGCUAGUUGGCGGGGUAAAGGCCCACCAAGGCGACGAUCCGUAGCUGGUCUGAGAGGAGGAUCAGCCACACUGGAACUGAGACACGGUCCAGACGCCUACGGGAGGCAGCAGUGGGGAAUAUUGGACAAUGGGCGCAAGCCUGAUCCAGCCAUACCGCGUGGGUGAAGAAGGCCUUCGGGUUGUAAAGCCCUUUUGUUGGGAAAGAAAAGCAGCAGGUUAAUACCCCGCUGUUCUGACGGUACCCAAAGAAUAAGCACCGGCUAACUUCGUG